rnacentral:rRNA from 1 species
AUUGAACGCUGGCGGCAGGCCUAACACAUGCAAGUCGAGCGAGCGGCGGACGUGUGAGUAAUCCCUGGGACUUGCGCUGUCGAGGGGGAUAACAGUUGGAAACGACUGCUAACACCGCAUUCGAUUGGAUCGCCCAGGUGGUAUUAGCUAGUUUGUGAGGUAAUGGCUCACCAAGGCGACGAUCCCUAGCUGGUCUGAGAGGAUGACCAGCCACACUGGAACUGAGACACGGUCCAGACUCCUACGGGAGGCAGCAGUGGGGAAUAUUGCACAAUGGGGGAAACCCUGAUGCAGCCAUGCCGCGUGUGUGAAGAAGGCCUUCGGGUUGUAAAGCACUUUCAGCGAGGAGGCGUUACUCGCAGAAGAAGCACCGGCUAACUCCGUGCCAGCAGCCGCGGUAAUUC